rnacentral:tRNA from 2 species
CCCCCGUUAGCUCAGCAGGAUAGAGCGCACGAUUCCUAAUCUUGAGGUCGGGAGUUCGAAUCUCUCACGGGGGACCA